CUUUACUGUAGCUUUGCAUUGGACUUUGAAUCGAUCUGUGUAGGAUAGGUGGGAGGCUUUGAAGCGUGGACGCCAGUUUGCGUGGAGCCAUCCUUGAAAUACCACCCUGGUUUAUUUGAGGUUCUAACCUUGGCCCGUUAUCCGGGUCGGGGACAGUGCAUGGUAGGCAGUUUGACUGGGGCGGUCUCCUCCCAAAGUGUAACGGAGGAGUUCGAAGGUACGCUAGGUACGGUCGGACAUCGUGCUAAUAGUGCAAUGGCAUAAGCGUGCUUAACUGCGAGACUGACAAGUCGAGCAGGUACGAAAGUAGGACAUAGUGAUCCGGUGGUUCUGUAUGGAAGGGCCAUCGCUCAACGGAUAAAAGGUA
rnacentral:rRNA from 1 species